CAUCCUGAUUGCAUGCAGAGAGGUAGGCCUGUCACCCUCCUGCCCCUACAAUCCUAGGCCAUCCCAGCUAGGGAGGGGCACAGCCAGGCUAAGGAAGGGAGGACUCUGGGCAGAAGCCAGGUGGCCCCCCUUGCAAGAAGUACCUGGUAGGUGGAGGGGGCAAAUCUCAUUAGCCAGCAGACUUUCAGGGUCUCCAGCGCUGACUGCCUGGUGUUUCCUCCCCACCACCCAGUGCCAGGGCAGGUCCUCCUGAGCAGGGCACAGCAGGGCACUCUUCCACUUCUGAGCUUUGAGCUGGUGGCCCUCCACUGUGGUCACCUAGCUGAGAAGGCUCCUGGGUCUUGGGGCACUGUUGCUGCUUAGAGGGAGCCCUGGGACUGGGGGAGGCUCAUCCAUCUGCAACCUGGCUGUGGAGGUUUUGGAGACUGGCCCCACUUGCCUGGAGCCAUGAUGGAGAGUUUCUGUGUAUGGCACUGCCAGGGCACUGUCCUGUGGAUCCAGGUUUCCUAGGCAACACAGCCAGACCCACUCCCUCCUGAUGUGUGACCCAAGUCCUUGACACCCUGGGUUCCAGCUGGCCCUUGCCCUGGGGUCCAGCCACCAACCUCUGCAUCUCACUGUGAUGCCCAGACAGGCCAAAUGCUUCAAGUCUGGUACCCCAUGCCUCGGUUUCCCCUUAUGUCAAACGGAAGGCAUGACUGAAGAAGAGCCUCUCCUGUCCAGUGCCAACCCCUUGGAGGAGCUGGGCAGUGGCCUGCGGUCGGCUCCCUUUCCCCUACCUCCGUCCUGGUUGGCAGAACGCCUGUCCAGGGCCUCCAUCUGGAAACGAUUGGACUCGCAGUCCUCAAAGAUAUAAUUAAAAUACACUGGGU
rnacentral:lncRNA from 1 species